GCCUACGACCAUCUCACCCUGAAUGCGCCCGAUCUCCUCUGAUCUCGGAAGCUAAGCAGAGUCGAGCCUGGUUAGUACUUGUAUGGGAGACUGCCUGGGAAUACCAGGUGUUGUAGGCU
rnacentral:rRNA from 1 species